ensembl:lncRNA
GACUCGUACCUUGAUUCAUUAACAUAAACACACUGUAAGCAGUCUGGUCAGCAAACCCCCAGGAAACACUCGACUCUCUCUCUCUCUCUCUCUAACACACCCACACACACGCACGCACACCCCCCACACCCACAUACACACACACACCUCAGAUGUGUAGGACACUGUGUAUAGGCCUACAAGACAUUCCCCGGAAAAUGUGUCUUCUAGUUUAAACAAAACUCUCGAUUCUUUUAAGCAGCAUUUUACAUCCUAAAGGGUUAGGUUUAGAAGGCAUGUAAUACGCGCGUUUCUUAUAAAACACCGUCUUUAAAACGUUUACCUCCUAAAGGGACCUAUUUAGAAGGUAUGUAAAAAGUAUUUUUUUAUUAUUUUUUCUUUUUUACAUUUCUUCGGGUAUAUCAAUGUUUUAGAGUAUUUAUUUCAGUAAAGUUUUAUUCAAAGUAAUGCCAUUUUCUCAAAAAGUGCAAUCAAUAAAGUUGAACAAUGUUUUAGAGUAUUUAUUUCAGUAAAGUUUUAUUCAAAGUCAUGCCAUUUUCUCAAAAAGUGCAAUCAAUAAAGUUGAAUUUAUUUCACAAGCUUACAUUCUGCUCAUUUAUGUUCACAUUCAACCAUCGUGUAUUUUCUAACAGCGGAGCUAUACAAAACAAACCCCCACAAUCUAAAUUUGAUGUCAGGUUGCAAGAUAAAAAUUCUAAUUUAUUGAAUUAAUUAAAUAUUUAAAGUUGUACACAUUAUUUUGAUGAGUGGUGUUGACAUAAUAAUGUUGAUAAUUACAUCAACUUAAUAUUGUGUGUAAUUUCUGCGUUAAUUGAUUUAAAACAAAAUUUACGUUGUAGUACAUUUACAUUUAUUCAUUUAACAGAGUGUUAGAGGACCUGUAGACUGAACAAAUACUAAGGACAUUACAAUGUGAUUAUCAUUUCACUUACCAUUAAAUUCUACUAAAGCAAUGAAUUUGGGGCAUGUUCUCAGUUGCGAUAUGACCGAUAGUGGACUCGUGUAUAGGCUACACCGGCUAAUACAUUUGAUGGACUAUUUUGCACUAGUACACGUAGCUAAUGCUAGUCAUAUUUAGUCAUAUCCACUCUUUAGUUUACCGUAGCAGUGGAAAAGAAGGAAAAAGUUUCAUUUGACAAAUCUGUUCAUCUAGAGAGGGCUUUUCAUUUGUGCUAUAGGAAAGAUAAGCAUGAUUACAUUUCUGCUUAUUCAUGUAAACCUCAACUACAUUGUGUAAUCUAAUUUCAUGUAUUGAUACAUUUUUUAUUUUAUUUUUUAAAAUCGUUUGUCAUUCGCACACGUAGCCUUCUAGCUCCACAGCCUUUGGACUGUGGAUAGUUCUAUGAGAGAUAAAAGUAGUAGACACAGAGUGUUUAUUUUUUGUCUAUAUUGCUCAUUUCAUUCAGUGCUUUAACGUCUAUAAAUCCUGCAGAGAUGUUACGUAUGAGAUAUGUAAUGUAAAUCACGCUGGAUUUUACUUACUAUUGUUAUAAAACUUAAAGGCAGUCAUUUUUCCUGGUUUAAAAGACUGCAUUCUACUGCAGACAAUCUAAAUGGAGAAACAUAAUUUUAAAAAUGAUUGUCAACUUAACAACUUGUGCUCAUAAUUAUGGUAAUUUAGUACAUAACACUUAAAUUCCUUUUAAAUAAUGUGAAAAUAAAGUGCGUUUGUGUGCGUCAUAUUUUUGUUUGGAUGUGGGAUACACAUGCCGUACCAGGUAUGGUCACGAUUUGGAUGUGAACCAGAUUUAACAAAACUAUAUAUAUUCUUAUGACCUACCACAG